ACAGACCAACCUCAUCAUCAACGCACUCCAAUUUCUUUUUCCUUCUUCAUAAUACACCCACAGUGAUACCCCUAAUGUUCAUCACAAAUACACAAUAAUACACUUAGCCACACAUGCACGGUGAAGAGGAAGAGAGAUUCGAGUUAGGAGAGAUUGACGUAGGGAGAUCGUGAGAGGGAAAUAGGAAGAGUGUUGAGAUAGUCCGGCGAAGUAUCGCCGGAAAAGGCAUUUCACUGACGAUUCAUGUCAGUUCCGGUGAGCUUCUGUCGAGAAACGCCCCCUUGGAUUGGCAGCUCAGGUUCCGUCCUAUAACUCACCAAAAAUCAGUAACCAAAUCGAUCAUUAGUCUCGAUUCCUAUGAAAUUUCACCGAAAAAAUGGAACAGCAUCAACUCUGACCACACUUACCCCGUCUACUCCAAUUUUUCGGUAAAAAAUAGAUGGAAAAUGAUCGAAUUUAGGUAAAACGUAAUUCGAAUUUGGAAUUCAUGAUUCAGGGUUCGUAUUGAGUUUGUUUGCGCUAGUUUUAAAUCUAUCCCGGUGGUAUUUUUGGAUAUCGAGUUGGAGUUUAUUGGUCGAGGUCGGGUCAAGGCAUUUCGGUCGGAGCUCUAAUCAAAUACUUUAAUGGAUUAAAAUAAAAGUAACAUUGAGGUCCAAUUCUAUCUCUCCUGUUUUAAUUUUUACGUUAUCAUGUGUUGACACCCAAUUUUUGCUCUCCGUGCCUAAAAUUAACGUCUUCAGGCUUCUUGAUCAUUAAAGGGCACAAAAUAUAAUUUUCACAUCUUUUUUAUAAUUGUUGACAAAUUAUUGAUAAUCAUCCUUACUUUAGAAUUUUUAUCAAUUUGUUAUCGUAUUUUUACUUUUCAUAAUUUAUUAAUAAUCCUCCUUAUAUUAGGAUUUCUAUCAAUUAAUUAUCGUUUUUAACAUUUUACAAUCAUCUGUACACGUACACGACAUCACAUCACAUUUUUUCUUAUCAUUUUUCAAAUUAAUUAUAUUUUUUAAUAUUUUAUUUUUUUAAUUAUAAAUCAAUUUCUGCAUUCUUUUUUACAGUUCGCAAAUGCUAAGUCGAAUCAAUUAAUUUUAUACAGUAUAAUAAUUCAAAGUCUUGUCGCAUUCGACAAUAACCACACGAUAAUGUCUUGUCACAUCCGACAGUGACUACACAUAAUGUCUUGUCACAUCCGACAAUGACUACACAAUGAUGUCUUGUCACAUCCGACAGUGACUACACAUAAUGUCUUGUCACAUCUGAUAAUGACACUAUCCUUUGAACAAUAACUCUAUCCAUUGAUCAAAGGAUAAACAUCCUUUGGUAAAUAUCCUAAGGAUCAAAAUGUGUGCUAUUAAGAAAAGUAGGGACACCUCUUUAUCCAUUGGAUAAUAAGGGGUGUCAAUUUUCAUUAUAAAUAGUGGAAGGUGGAAGACAAAUGUCACACACAUUUUUUGCCACCCACUUAUUCAUUUUUUCUCUCUACACACACAUUUUCAUAUACCCACACAUAUUUUUUCUCUCUCUCAAAUACAUACACAAAAAAAAAUACAAGAAAAUAUCUUUCCUCAUUUUUCAUUCUCUCCCAAAAAUCACAAAUGCAUAUGCAUAUUUUUUAAUCACACACAUUAUAUUCUUCUUUCUCCUUUUUCUCUCUCUAUAACACGCAAAAAAUACACAUAUACACAUAAAAAUAAAUUAAAUUUUUGCUCCCUAUUUUGGUGAAAUUUCACCAUUUUUACUAGGGAUUAUGUUGGUUACAUUAUAUAUAUAUAUUUCUCAAGUGUUGUUGUUGCUAUUCAUAUUUUCUUACUGUUCAUGACCGAAACUUUGUGUCCCAGUUACUUUCUUUCCUUUAUCCAUUUCCAUCAAUCUUCAUUAUUUUUUUUUUGAGAGUUUUGUUAGUUUAUAUUUUAUGUGAAUUUAUUUUCGUAUUUCUUUAUUUAUAGAUUCUUAAUGAUGGUUAUUGUCACUUCUCAGUGAAUGUUCAGAUUUUUCAAUCAUGUUUGAACUAUUUCUAUUUUAUUUCAUUACUCUGUUAUACAAUUAAGAAUUUUACUCUAUUUUUGUUAUUUUCAAUUUCUUCGUCAUGGCUACAUCAUUUUUAUUCAUUAACUUUGACCUUUUGUCAUUUUAUUAUUUUAAUCAUUGAUAAUCGUUUGAAUUACUAUGUAUGAUUUUGAUAUGAGUUCAGUGACUUUGUUAAUCAAAUAAACAUAUUAGUUGUAAAUACCUUUUCUUUUCAUGACACAUGAAAAUACAUUUCUCUUCGUACGUCAUAAAAUACUUUUCUUUUUCACAUGUAAUUUAUACAUUUUAUACAUAUCUUUUACAUGUUUUUAUUUAUAUAGUUAAUAUACAUAUACUUUUACAUGGUUUUAAACAUUUAUAUUUUUUUCAAAGAAUUAUUUUAUAUUUAAUACACAUACACUUUUAUAUUAUUUUAAAUAUUUAUACCUCCUCCCUCAUUGAUAAGUUUAAUCUAGCCGGUACCACAUUUGUGGAUCCUGAAGGGUGCCUAACCCCUUCCCUUCGGGAUAAUUUGAACCCUUACCUAGAGUCUCAAUAGGUUUUCGCAGACUAAAACAUUAAUCAUACAUAUUAACAAAUAAAUAGGUUUCCUUGUUUUCCUUUAAAAAUUAGGUGGCGACUCUAUACAAAAUUUCAAUUCUUUAGAGCCCAUUAAGUCAUGUUUUGUUUGACCUUGGCAAAAAUAGGGCAUGACAUCGUGAAUGAUUUGUGUGUUUGGUAUGUUUAAAUCAUGAUUGUGUAUUGGUUGAUGUUGGAUUUGAAAUUUUGAAAAGUUAAUUGAUAAUUGAAGCAUGUGUUAAUCAUUGAUUGAUAAAAAUGAAGUUGGGGGGCUGGAAGCAAAAUUGGUAAAACUGAAUAUUAUGGUAUUUUGAUUCAUUGUUGAUGUUGAAUAUGAUAUGUAUCAAGCGGGUAGGGAAGCAUUAGGCUGGUUAGGGAAAUUUAGAAUUAGUGGAUUGUUUGAAAUAUGUGUUGAAUGUCUUAUUUACCGAAUUUGAAAAGUGUAUUCAUUUGGCAGGGGAAUGCCCCGAGGUAUUUGUAUUUAUUCACUGGGGAAUGCCCUGACGUACUAUGUUGGCAGAAGAUGAUCGUGAUGACGGCCCGAGGCAUCGGGUAAAGCAACGGAG
rnacentral:lncRNA from 1 species